CCUACGGGUGGCAGCAGUGAGGAAUAUUGGUCAAUGGACGAGAGUCUGAACCAGCCAAGUCGCGUGAAGGAUGACUGCUCUAUGGGUUGUAAACUCCUUUUAUAAAGGAAUAAAACGAGGCACGUGUGCCUUUUUGCAUGUACUUUAUGAAUAAGGAACGGGUAACGCCGUGCCAACAGCCGCGGUAAUUCGGAGGGUCCGAGCGUUAUCCGGAUUUAGUGGGUUUAAAGGGAGCGUAGAUGGGUUGGUAAGUCAGUUGUGAAAGUUUGCGGCUCAACCGUAAGAUUGCAAUUGAUACUGGCAGUCUUGAGUACAGGUGAGGUAGGCGGAAUUCGUGGUGUAGCGGUGAAAUGCUUAGAUAUCACGAAGAACCCCGAUUGCGAAGGCAGCUUACUAGACUGUGACUGACAUUGAUGCUCGAAAGUGUGGGUAUCAAACAGGAUUAGAUACCCGGGUAGUC
rnacentral:rRNA from 1 species